GGUUUCUUGAUUAAUAUAGGAAAUUUAACCUGCCCACUGAUUUAUUUGAAGGGCCGCGGUAUUUUGACUGUGCAAAGGUAGCAUAAUCAUUAGUCUUUUAAUUGAGGACUUGUAUGAAUGGUUGGACGAGGUGAUAACUGUUUUAUGAUAAUUGAUGUUGAAGUUGAAAUUUAAGUAAAAAGACUUAAAUGAAUUUAAGGGACGAGAAGACCCUAUAGAGUUUAAUAAAUUGAUAAAGAAUAAUAAGGUUAAUAAUUAGUUGAUUUAAUUAUUAUAAUGUAAAUUUAUUUGGUUGGGGUGAUUUAAAGAUAAUUUGAACUCUUUUUUAAUUUGAAUAUGAGUUGAUAAAAUAGUUAUGAUCCAUUGAAAUUAGUUAUGAUUAAAAGAUAAAAUUACCUUAGGGAUAACAGUAUAAUUUUUUUUGAGAGUUCUUAUUGAGAAAGAAGAUUAUGACCUCGAUGUUGGAUUAAGGUAAAAUUUGGAUGUAGAUGUUUAAUUAUGUUAGGUCUGUUCGACCUUUAAAAUCUUACA
rnacentral:rRNA from 1 species